rnacentral:lncRNA from 1 species
AGAGAGAAACACCAUGUGUUUCAGCUAUUUUACCUGUAUCCUCGAUCUGCUACAAAGACCUGACAGUGGUUUGACAGCCUGGGGCUAGUACAAGAAAUGAUGGAAGAGAAUUAGUCAAAUUGAAGCAAAUGUUGACCGGCUUUAUGAUGCAAGGUUUCAGGCAGGAGACAACAGCCCAAAACAGCGACGCGAGAAGCAACCCGGGUUAGCUUCUUGCUAUAGACUCCGGCAAGACUAUCCCUCUGCACGCAAAAGAGUUUAACCAACGUGACAUCCUGCAA